UUGAAGGAUUGGAGUUGGAUUGAAGGAUGAAGAGAAGUGAAUCGAAGUUGUGAAGGUUUCGGUUGCGGUGGAAGCGGUGGUGGCUCUUUGAAGAAGAAAGAGGAGGUUGAAAUGGUGGUUCUUUGGAGAAGAAAGAGGAGGUUGAAGUGGCGGUUAACGGUUUUGUGAGUUUGUUACGGUUGUUGAAGGAAGUGAGAAGAAGCUCGGUUAGGGAGGGUUUUGCAGAAUGAAGAAGGUAGAAGGUGAUGAAGUGGAAUCCCCGGAAGAAUGAGAGGGAGUGAAGGUAAGCUUUUAUAGAUUUCUGAGUUUCUUUCUCCUCUCAUUCUGUUAUGAAUUGGUUACCGAUUUUGUUAGGUUGUUUUGAGUUUGUUAUGAAUUCUGUUAGACGGAAUUUCUUGGGACGAGCUUUGUUAGUUUCAAUUAUACUGAAUGUCAAGCUAAUGUGAAGUUCUUCUAUUAGAGAGUAUUGUUAGAAGCUUGACAGGUGAAUUGUUUUUGGGUUUGCACGGCCUGAAGUAUCCAUGUUGCAGUUUGCUACAUGCGUGCGUUCUGUUUUC
rnacentral:lncRNA from 1 species